AAGCCCCAGAUCUGUCCUGGGCACAGGGACAAGGCGGGGCUGGGCUUCUCGGGGAGCAGCGAGGGUGGCUGUCUUCAGGCUGAGAAAGGAAGAAGCCCUGGCACUAAGCAGAGUGAAAAAUCCCCAAAUGCUGGCCAUGAUGGAGAAAACAACAGCCGUAAAGCAGGUGAGGAGGCCGGGCGCCGUGGGAACGCAGGGCAGGCGGGGCGCACACGUGGUGUCCGGGCCGGGGCCCCAGACCUCCCCUGGAAGGGAGACAUCCUUUCUGGCUGACGCACCCCGAACUCCAUGUUUCCUACAAUUCUGCAGCAGGGAUCCAGGAACAGGAGAAAAGGAAAUGGAGAAAAUGCGUCCUGUGAUCCAAAUUUAAGCAAGAACAGGACGGACGGUGUGAGCCAAAUAGAAACGAGGCCAAGAGCGCUUUCUUCGGGCCCCAGGCUUUUUUUUUUUUCAAAUGCCCAAACCUGUUUAACUGCUUCUUGAGAACGACAGUUGUGGGAUCCAGUUCACAACGGGAGAGGAACUCUAAUUAGCGCUGUAACCUCACCUUCAGAUUUAGCUGAAUAUAGUCAAAUGGCGCAUUAAGAGUGAUUGCUGCCAACUGAUGCCUGAAAGAAACAGAAGGGAGAGAAAGGGAGGGAGAGAGAAGGAGGGAGAGAGGAAAUUGUGACACACUUGAAUCAAGAUCCCUACUGACAGGUUGUCCUAUAUCAGUUGCACGAAGCAGCUAUAGCUCCUUACCAACCAGCCUCCAUAAAUCCCCGGAUUACAUGAUGUGUCUGCGUGGUCUGCUCAGACUGGCACCCUCUAGAUCACGUUCACGGUCAUUGCAGUCAUUGGAUUUCCACAGUGAGGACUGGAGAGGUGCCCUUAACAAACCACAGUGCCCUCCGGUUCGCAGGGCGGUUAUCAUCCUUACACUCGGUGCUUCACCACCUGGCUGGGAGGAGAGUGGUCCUGUCCCUGUUUUGCAUGUGAGGACGUUCCAGCUGAGACUUACAAGAUCCCCACUUGGAGGAGGUCACCAGCCAGAGCCUGAUGCUGAAUCCCGUGACCUUUCCUCUGCCCUGGAAGACUGGGGACAGGCGGAUGCAGAGAGGGAAACUGAGGCACAGGCUAGCAAAACGACUCCUUCAUGGGGUGAGUGACUCCGUGGAGAUCACCUUAGGGCCUCAGCUUACUAAAAUCAACACCUUUAUCUAAGGCCAAAAAGACCCCCAGUGACCUGACAGUCCUCACGGGAGGGGCUGUGUAUCCAGAAAGCCUCAGACGCAGUGGGGACUGGGAGCACUCAGCUGUUCUUGCUGUCUCCUAAUGUGCUAAUGUGAUUAUCUCAUGGUGGCUAUUGUCUGUGUCCCAUGACUGGUGUCAUUCCAACGCUUCUGGAGAAGAGGAGUGGAGCUCCAGGGCCGCAGAAGCAGUCCCGGGCAGAGUCUGAGUCAUCCAGUACAUCUGAGUGACAAGAAAGAGUUUACAGGGACACCAUGACCUGGCCCACCUGGAAGGCUGCAAGAACAAAAAGUGCCUGCAGCAAGAAGCUUGCAACAACCAACCACACCCCCUCCCUUGUUUUUUUGUAUAAAAGGAGCCUGUAUUCUGACUAGAGCAGAAUGGUUCUCCAGGACAUUAAUCUGCCAUCGUAUCUGCCGGCUUUCUGAAUGAAGUCACCACUAUUCCUUGCCCCGACACCUCAUCUGAUUUAUUGGCAAGCAGAACGAGUUUGGACUCAGCAACACUCCCUCCCUCCAUGCCCUGGGCACUUGAUUCUCCAAACCUCCAUGCCUUCCAUCUUCCUAGUCCUGACUCCCAAAGUCACAGUUCUGAAAAGAUGACAUGAACAUUCUUCUCACUCUGAGGCUGCUCACCCCCAGGAGACAGAUGGCAAGCAUGAGUGUUCAGGGUGGUCAGAGAGGAAGAUGGAAUAUUGCAAAAUGAAAUUUCAAAAAUGGCAAUGAACUCUUGCCAUAAGAAAUUUGAAAGGCAAUGCAAAUUCUGAAAAUAUUUGUUAUCUACAUGAAGACAACUGCAUACAGGAAGGAAUCAGUGACUCAACCCUUGGAGAGCUAUUUUAAGAAAUCUGCUACUAAAAAUGUACUAUAAUCCAACUGUGCCUUGAACACCAUUCUGCCAAGGCAAACUCCACAAGAAGGCUGCAGGGUUUCUCCGCUGCGUGGAGUCAUGGGGGGAUGAACCAUGAGCCUGGUCUAUUUAGCAGUGAAAUGCCUUGAAAAUACUUGAUUGAAGGGGAUGCAGAUGGGGAAAUAGCGUGGAGCUGAUGUCUCCAAUGCCUUUCAAGCCUUCCUCCUAACUACAGUCACGUGUUUUACACAUCAGACGUGUUCCUGAGAAGUCGGGCGUGAGCCCAUAUGCUCAGGGGAAUUAUGUUUCCCAUGUUCCAGGGAUCCUCCUGACUUGGAGGAACCAGGUAUCUGCAAGGAAGCUACAGAGAAAUCCAACGCCCACGACUGCUUCAUCUCUGCUGAGCUUGGACACCCCGUCUGACCCCGGCCGGGACUGAGCUUUGAAGGACACAGGCAGCGACAGCAGUGUCUCGGUUUCAUUGCUGGGUCUGGGGAGGAAAGGGCUGGUCCCAGAGAGGGGUCAAGGGCAGGCUGUGUUGUUCUCCAGCCGCAACACAGAGAAGAUGAGAGGAAACCACCCCAGCACCAGGCUCUGCUGAAGGCGAGUGAAGUCGGAGGCCGAAAACAAAAGCGGAGGAGCCCAUCUCCUUGGAGCUGUUUGUCUUACAUAAUCCAAAUAAACACAGCAGUGUGGAGGCCGGGACCACGGGGCCCAGGGGCAGAAAAAGGGCAUCUCCUUUGGCUUCUGGUCAAGAAUGGCUUCCUUAAAACAAAGUAGUAAUCAUACUGGGGAACACACCAGGACAAUUCAGAAGGAUGUCCUGAAUAAAUUAAUUAAGUAGGGCAGUCAUUCAAAUCAGGACUUGCAAGGCGACUUUCUUUUCUCCUGCUAGGGAGGUAAAUCUUAAUCAGAGCGCUGGGAAGAAGCCAAGUUGACACUGGGAUGGCACUCGGGGCUGCUGUGAGAGGGACCAGGGGCACAGGGGCCGCUCUCUCAGACACUGGAGAGGCAGCUCCCUUUGUCCCCUUCUCAGUCCAGGGCAACGCAGGGGGACCCCAGCCUUCCGGGAAGUAACGAGCAGUUUAAAAAAAAAGAAAAGACAAUUUACUGACUCAGCAAAUGAACACAGGCCCAGCGUCUGAAUGAAAUCAGAGAGUCUGGAAAUUGAGAGCAGGCGAGAAUUCAUUGAAACCUUUUUCGCCAGUAGCCGUCAGUCUCCUGGGACAGCCACCCUUAUCGUAUGCCAGGGGACAAGAAUAGAAAGAAAAAUUGAGAACACAGCCCUGAGCAUGGGCGGGGGGAUUGGUUGCCAAGAGUUGCCCCAUUAGUAGGCUAUGGGGACAUGCAAGGGAACAUUUUCAGUAGGAGGUUUGUGUUUAAAAAUACAUCUCUCUUCCCAGCUGGCACGGGGAGUGGUUGAGGAGUGAGAGCCUCCUCGCUCUGUGCUGAGCAGGUGCUCCCUGCCCUGGGGUUUACUGCCGAGCACUGAACCCUCCGAGGCUGCCCCUUACGUGCCAUAGGACAGUCACUGAGAUCUCAGCCCAGCUCCUAGCAAGCUGGCGUAGUUGACAGUCCCUGGAUGAAAGCCACGUUCCAGAAACAUCCUCCACAGGGUGGUUGCUGGGUGCACCCGGGGCCGGAUGGGGGCUGUGGGGAUCCCUUCACCCCUGAGGCCUCUGACCCUCCUCACAUCGUGGAUGUGUCCCUGGGGCCACAUCCCUCCCCAUGUCCUUAUUCUUCAAAGGAGGACACCAGUGUCUGACCACCUCCUAAGGGCAUUCUGGAGUAAGAGCUAAUAGAAAUUACUUAAAAGCCCUUGGCAAUAUGAAAAUGAAAAUAUGCAUGUAUAUGCAUGACUGGGACAUUGUGCUGUACACCAGAAAUUGACACAUUGUAACUGACUGAACUUCAAUAAAAAAAAAUAAAAUAAAAGUUAUUUAAAAAA